CCUCAGCCCGUGGGCCUGGGCGGUGGAGAAGGUGCAGGAGCUCUGCAAGCCUGGCUCCCAGCGCAGAGGACCGGAUGGAGGAAGGCUGAGGGCCCGGCACUCCGGCCACAGGUGAGGCUUCAGCAGGAAAGCCUGCGCCCAAUGGCAACUUUCUCUCUCGGUGCUCAACCUCGGCUCUUUGCUGGCUUCCACUUUCUCCUCUAGAACAAUAGGGGAGAAAAACUACCCCCAAACGAUCACACGGGCACUUAGCUUUGCUUCUUGGGGGGGGGGGGGGGGGUGAAAGUUGAGGGCUCAGUGUGCGAGUUUGGAAAGUGGGGCCAGAUUCACCCCGGAAGGAGGCUAAGAAUGGAAAGUGAGCCCCUGAGGCAGGCGGCGCGGCAGGAGGCACCGCCCCCCGCGGCUGCUCCGGGACCAGGUGUGCGCAGGAAGGCGCGUCCCGGCGGCUGCGCAUCGCCUGUCGUGGCUCAGCUCCGGAGGACUGAGGACGCCCCUCUGGCUCACGCCCGGGACCCGCGAGGACACCGUGACCCACCUUGGUGCCUGGACACACAAGCACCACCCUAGCCCUUAGGCAGCCGGACGGCCCCUCUCCUGAAUGCCCAAGCCGGACCCACGCCCACCUCCACAGCACAACUCCCUCUUCCUCCUCCCCAGACUCCGAAGGGGUCUCCCCUAAGGCCAAGUCCAGGUAAGGACCCCCCGCCCGGGUAAGAUCCCUUCUGGCUCCACUCCCGGGGAGGGCACCUCUUCCCUAGAUUCUAGACCCCAGAGAGGCUGCAGCCGCUCCCUGGGGUCGGAACUCUCCCUCCCGGCUCUCGGGGUACCAGGGUAGCCCUCUAUGCGUGUCCCCUCCUGGUAAGACAAGCUCCCGUGUCCCGCUUGCACACCACCCCGCGCGGGGUCAGGGGACCCUUCCCCACGCCCCACCCCUCAAGCCAGGUCCGCGGAGCGGCGGGGAUCCCUCCCCAGGAGGUCCCUGGGGUCCCCGCGCCGUCCGGAGCCCCGAGCUCGCCCCCACGAGCCUUCCGCGCGGGGUCGCGAGCCUCGGGGGCCGCGGGACGCUCACCUGCCGCGGGGCUGGCUCGGGCGCGGCUCGGUGGUCGCUCCGCGGGUCGGGACCGGCUGGCGGGAGGCGGCGGGCGGCCGCGCAGGGCGCUGGGCUAGCGAAUCUCCGGCGCCGAUCGCCGAGCUACGUUUACUUGGGCCACUUAACCCCCGCGGUGCCGGCGGGCGCGGCCGCCCGCUCGCCCGCCUGCCAGGGGGCCGGUGCCGUCGUCGGGGGGCGCCCGGGGCGUCCACGCGGGCCGAGGCGGCGGGGCUGGGGGCGCCUGCUGCGUGGGAGCGGCGCGGGCCGGGCCGGGCAGCGGCUGAGGGUGGGCAGGGGGCGGCGCCGACUCCCCUUGUAGCCCCGGCCCGGCCCUCGCCCCGCCCCCACCCGGGGCCGCCCCCGCCGCAGCCACUCAGAGCCCGGCCGCGGCGCGGGGGGGAGCGGACGAGGGAAAUUUGAAAUCACUCCGGGAGCCUCCCUCGGCCCCUCCUCCGCGGGCGCCGCCUCUCGUCCCCAAAGGCCUGUUAAAUCACCGACGGGGAUAACCAGCCUGAAGGGGACUGCAGAUACCCAACUCUCCUCCUUAUCCAGCCCCCCCACCCCACCCCAGACAGAUCUGGAUGCGGGGCCCAGAGACGGAAAGGCCCCCUCUGAAGUCACACAGCAAGCAGUCUCCGCUUCACCCUCACCUCCAGUCAGUCGCAGUGCCACUGGGGCGCUGCUAUGCCUCUGCAGGUCACCCCGCUGUGGACCCUCUAACUAGCCCUUCCUCCCUUCCACCCAGCUAGGUCUUUGUCAGCCAUCUUUAGCGUAGGGGAGGGGAACGGAGAGAAGAGGCCAUCAGGCCUCUGGCUGCCUGGGUUCCCAGGCUCUGCACACAUCCUCUCCCUGAGGAAGAAGCCCGACUCCAUGAGCACGUCUUGUUGCCUCUGCCGUUAAAUGGCCAUUGUAUUAUCUGAAAAUGGUGCUUCCUAAUAUUACCGUACCUAGUAUUUAUAUUUAUUUAUUUCCUUUAUCUGCUAAUUGUCUCCAUGUGUUAGACUGAGGACAGGAUCAAAGUAGACGCUCAAUAAAUAAGUCUUAAACCAGACAUGGUGGCACAUGCCUGUAAUCCCAGGGUCUCCAGAAGCUGAAUUAGGAGAACUGCAAGUCAAGGCCAGCUUCAGCAACUUAGUGAGGCCCUAAGCAACUUGGUGAGACCCAAUCUCAAAAUUAAAAAUAAAUAAAUAAAUAAAAAGGGCUCGGGAUGUGGCUCAGUGGUUAAGUGCCCUGGGUUCAAGCCCCCAUAUUAAAAAUAAAUGUGUUAAGUGAAUACAGGAAUGAUUGACAGGAGAGUCUACAAGACCCUGUAAUGAGCUAAUGCUGCCUACCUCUUCAGGUAUCUCCUGCCCUCUCCCCUCGCUGACUCCAUUCCAAUCUUCCCUCCUCUUUGCUGUUUGCAGUUUGGACUUGCGCGGCUGUUCCUUCUACCUGGACAUUCUUUUCCCAGAGCACUGCAUGACAAACUUCUCACCACUCAGUUCUCUCCCAAAAGGUCACCUUCCGGAGAAGCUCUUCCCGACUGCCCCACCGAACCACCUCCCCUCUCCAUCACUACUUUUCUAUUUCAUUCUGAUCAGGUAGCUCUUAGAGCUGGCUGAAAUUGAUUUGCAUAUUUCUUUUCUUGUUUACAGGGUUCUACAUACACAUUGUAAAGUUCAUUCUAAAAAGGCAGGAACUACAUCUGUCUAUCUGGGGUUGAUGCAAAUUUUCUUUCUAGUAAUGAUGGGGGGAGGGGAAGCCCAGUACCAAAAGGAGCUGGAUACAAGUUUGUUGAAUGAAUGAAGGAACACAGAUUUCCUGCCUUUGGGGCUCUAGGUCUGAGUAAACCCAGCUUUCUCCUUGCCGUGUGUGUGUGUGUGUGUGUGUGUGUGUGUGUGUGUCUUUCUGUCUGGGGCUUGAACCCAGGGCUCACUCGUGCAGGGCAAGCUCUCUACCAAUGAAGUACGUGCCCAGCUCAGCCCUUUUAUAAAUUUGACUUUUUGGCAGUAUUUCACUAAAUNCUGAGGGGGAGGAGCAGCAGGAAAUUCUUGGUGUUGGGGACAAACACCCAAAAGUAUGUUCCCGCCAGGCUUGGUGGCAUCUGCCUAUAAUCCCAGUGAUUCAAGAGGCUGAAACAAGAGAAUGGCAAAUUGGUUGUCAGUGUGGGCAAUUUAGUGAGACUCUGUCUCAAAAUAAAAAUAAAAAUUUCUGGGGUUAUAGAUUAAUGGUAGAGCACUGUGGAUUCAAUCCCCAGUACAAAAAUAAAAUAAAGUGUAUUAUUCUGGUCAAUUGCUACAGGAAGACCAAUAAAGAUGAUAAAGAGGAUCUCUUCUCUCUAGCUUGCGCUCUCUCUCUCUCUCUUUUUUUUUUUUUUUUUUUUGGUACUAGAGAUUGGCAUCAGGGGCACUUUACCACUGAGCUAUACCCCCAGUCAUUUUUUUUUUUAAUUUCUGUAUGAGGGUUUGAACCCAGGGGUGCUUAACUACAUCCCCAGCCCUGUUUGUUUAUUUAUUUAUUUUUGGUGCCAAAACCUGGGAACAAAUUAUUUUUUAUUUUGAGACAGUUGCUUAGGGCCUCUCUGAGUGGCUGAGGCUGGCCUUGAACUUGCAAUGCUCCUGCCUCAGCCUCCUAAGCCACUGCAAUUAUAGGCAUCCAACAUUUUUUAUUUUUUAAUUUUAAGACAGGAUCUCGCUAAAUUGCUAAGACUGGCCUCACUUGCAAUCCUCCUACUUCAUCCUCCACAGUUGCUGGGAUUACAGGGGUGUGCCAUCACACCCAGCAAGAAGGGGAUCUCUUGGGAGGACUUAUGGUUUAGCCCCACCAUCUAGGGAAGGUCUAUGUGGAAAAAAAUCUCUAUGAACUUGGGAGGCCUGGUGGACCUCUGCUUUCUGAACAUUAAGCCAAGACCUGCCACCUGGCACAGGAUGUCUGUGCCACCAAGGAGAAUGCUGGUUCAGAUGGCAAGGGGCUGGGUGAGCUGAAACAAGACAGGCACUUCUGGGGACAGCAUAGCCCUAAAUCCAGGAAGAGCAAGUAUCUGAAUGACAGGUGGUCUUGGUCCUUGUCAGGGACUAGAAGGAAAUUCUCCUUCAAAGAUUAGCCUGACAGCCCCCUGGGAGACAUCCUGCCUGGGAGGCAUCCUGCAGCUACCUAUCAGACAUCUUGCACCUGGCAGUUUUACCACCCACAUCCAGCAGUUGUUGAUUAGAGAGCUUCCCCAUCCCCAGCAUAUAAAUACCCCUGUGUGAACAAUAAAAGUUUGCAGCUUGAUCAGAAUUUUUGUCUUGCUGUCACCUUUCGUGUCUCUUGUCCCUUCAUUCCUCCCCAUCUAGGUUCGCUGCCCACGUUGAUGUGUCCUGCCGGACGGGACAGGUCCUGGCACUCAGAAAGGAUCAUAACCAUCAGGAGAAUGGGUGGAAGGAAAAAUGGCCUGUGGCCUCCCCAGGGCACAGAACUUCAGUUUGCAAAGGCCUUUGGUUGUAUUUGCCAUCUUAUCUGAGCCUCACAUCCACCCCACUGGGAGGCAGGGGAAGGGUGUUUGGGGGCCCCAUUUCAGGUAAGGGGACUAAAGCACAGAGGACAGAGGGACAUAUACAAGGUUAAUCAGGGGUGAAGCCAGACUUUGAGUGAGCAGCUGCUCUGUGUGGUCACCUCAGCAUUUACUUUAAAACAUAUCCCAUCAGAUCACAAUCAUUAUAAUCAAAAAGGUGAUCAAUGUGCAUUAAGGAGAUAAAAACUCUGUGAUCUGGACUGAGGGCGUAGCUCAGUGAUAGAAGGAUUGACUUCCUAGCAAGCAUGUGAUCCUGGGUCCCAUCCCCAGCACCACCAAGAGAGAGAGAAAAAAAAAAAAAUCAUGAAUUCUUGGGGCUGGGAUUGUAGCUCAGUGGUAGAGAACUUGCCUAACGUGCAUGAGGCCCUGGGUUCCAUCCUCAGCACCACAUAAAAAUAAAUAAAUAAGAAUAAAGAUAUUGUGUCCAUCUACAACUUAAAAAUAUUUUUUAAAAAUCAUGAGUUCUCUGUACCAGCUUUGAAACCUUGAAACUCUUCUAUAAUUUAGAAAUUAUGACCGGGCACAUUGGCACACGACUGUAAUCCCAGCGAUUUGGGAGGCUGAAGCAGGAGGAUUGCCAGUUCAAAGCCAGUCUCAGCAAAUUAUCAAGGCAGUGAGACCCCGUCUCAAAAUAAAAUACAAAGUAGUGCUGGUUCAAUAUUGCAUUUGUCUUGAAUUAUACUAUCAUCUUUUAGGUUUUUAUAGCCCCAACGGCAGGUUGACAGGUUUUUAAUAAUAUCUAUGAAGUGAUUAGCACAGUAGAUCAUAGGUGCUUAAUAUAGGGCAGGAAGUUUAUUUUGGGCAGGAUGGUACCAGGGAUUGAACUCAGCUGCACAAGACCAAUGCGCCACUUCUCCGAUUCUAUGUUGAGACAGGGUCUCACUGAUUUGCUUAGCACCUAGUUUUUGCUGAGGCUGGCUUUGAACUUAGGAUCCUCCUGCCUCAGUCUUCUGAGCUGCUGGGAUUACAGGCUUUCACCACCGUGCCCAGCAGACAGGUAGUUUUAAUGAGCACAAGACCACAAGACUUGUCUCAAUUUCUUCAUCAUUAAAAUGAAGAUAAUAAUUUUACCUACUUCAAAGGGUUAUAAUGAGAAUUAUACGACUAUAUAUAUAUAUAUAUAUAAAUGGUCGUAUAAUUCCCAUUAUAUAUAUAUAAUUAUAUAUAUAAAUAAUUUCAGACAGUGCCUAGCUCACUGGAAAAUACCAUGAAAGUGCUGAUUAAAUAAAAAACUAUAUUGUUAUCAAUAGUGAACACAUGCUGUUCCCCACUGGGACAGAGUUGAAUGUUCUCUUUGCCUCCUCCGGGUGGAGAUAGCUCUGUCUGUCCCUUGAGCUCCCUGCUACUAAGGUGAGCCCAGUUCACCUCUAGGUCUACAGGCAGCGUUGGGGACCCUGAACCGUUUUCUAGUUGAGGAAAUUGAGGCUCAGCAAGUGGAGGCAGUUUGUCCUAGAGCCACCUCUGUUUGGUGGCAGAGCAGGGAGUGCCAGCUGGAGCCAACCCCCUCUGUCACGUGUGACCCCCCCACACCUUAUGUACUAUGCAAAGGAGCUUGCCCUCAGUCCUCUGGCCACUCUAAUUGGAAUAAUAAUAAAAUUAGUAAGGCUGAUUCCAGGGACUGUGGGGCCUGGGGCUUGUAUGUGAAAGAGCCCAUUGUGAAGUUCGAGGGUCUUAAUUGUUGUGUCAUUAGCAGCCACCUUCAUUUGCAAAGUGGGUUUCUCACCUUUCCUUUUCAACAGGAACACCCAAACCUCUUGUUUUCUCCUUUUUUUUUAAAUCCCAAAAUGGGUCAUUGAACUAUUUUAUAUAAAUGUACCUCACUAGACAAGAGCACAGAAGAAUAUGGUCAGGUAGCAUUCAUCAGUGUCUUCUUUUCCUUUCUCUCGUGUGUGUGUGUGUGUGUGUGUGUGUGUGUGUGUGUGUGUGUGUGUUUGGGGGGGGAAGUGCUGGGGAUGGGACUCAGGUCCUGGCCCUUGGUAGGCAAGUUUCUAGCCCUGAGUUAUACCCCCAGGCUCCUGCAGUAACAUUGACAUUGACUCAUCCACACUGAGGUUCCUGAGAGCAAGGACACUUGUACCCCAUACUGGGCAUUCACUAAAUGUUCUUUCCCUCCCUGGAAGCUCUCUGUCAUCAUCUCCUUACCCUGCCCUCAGGCAAACCAGCAAGUCACCUGGACUUGGCUUCCCUUAACUUUGGAAGUUCAGACUUGACCUCUGGAGGGAAAGUAUGGCUGAGGAGAGGUUCCCAGCCUUGAUUCUGUUCUCCUGCUACCUCUGCUACCCCGCUGAAGGAACAUGGGCAAGUGUCUUGCCCUCUUUGGGGACCUGCUGACUCUACUGUCAAAAAAAAAAAAAAAGAGGCAGAUUGUGUAGCAGGGAAUAAGCCCAAAAUUCAUAGUGCCAUCCUUGACUCCUCUCCUGUUACCAGGAUUUUGCUUCCUAGAUUUGCUCCACGUUCAGGCUUCAUCAGCUCUGCACUGAUGGGUUGACCGAAUACUGACUCCUCCUUUAUUUUGCAGUGCUGGAGAUCAAACCCUUGGUAGAGGAGCUACACCCCCGCCCCUCCUGCUCUGUUUGAGAAUAAAUACAGAGGGGAUGUGUUCAAACCUCUUUUAUAAAACUGUCCUUAUUUUCUUUGGGUAAUUCCUUUCCCUUCAAGCUUCAUGAAUUUCAUAAACCCAGCAUGAUGCUGCAAACCAGGCUUGGGUGAGAUGCCCAGGACCCUGGGUCUUCCCUGUGUGUGUCCUUGUCUAGAGCCUGGUGAUAGCUGACACUCUGUCUGCUGAGCUGCUGUUCAUCUUUCAGGCUCAAGUCUGCCUCCUUCCUCCACUUCUCCCCUGAAUGUCUUCAACUGAGGCUUCAAGUAAGGUGUUUCUCCCUCAGAAGACCAGACCGUGGGCAGCAGAAGGGAGGAGCAACAGUCUGUCGUGUUCACUGCCCUGUGGCCAGCACCUAGCACAGGGCCUGGCAUACAGGAAGUGCUUAUUGAAGGUCUAGGGCCUGAAUGAAGGAACAGACCCCUCCAUCUUUCAAAUGAUGCAAAAAGAAGAGAAAGUUCUCCAAGUAACAGCUCCCAGGUUACACCCAGUUGUGUUCACAAGCACCCAGCAGAGGUAUGCAUAGCAGGCCUUGACGGGGGGCUUGGCCAGGCAUUCACUUUAUAAUUGUUCUAUAGAGAAAAACAAAGCCAGCAAUAGAGAUCCCAGGCCUCAUUUUCUCAGGCAAAGUGAUCUCUACCAUGAAUUUGUAAUGAAGGGUGAGAUUUCCGAAAAGUGGAGCAUUAUUAUCCCUGCCCUCCACCUUUUUAAAGGGCCCUUUAAAAAACAGAUUUCUAGAGGUGACAGUUUUAACGUCCUUUUCCCCAGGAAUACCACUUUGAAAAUGUAUCUCAACAACAACAAUCUUGAGAUUGAGACAGGGAUCUUUGAACCAGCAAACAAUUUCAUCACCAAAUUCUAUACAGAAAUCAGAGAAUUCCAACUUCCCUUGAAGUCCAACAAUAGAGGAUUAUUUUCAUUAAUUUACCUGUUUAAGGAUUAAAAACUAGAAGUGGAAUUGACUCCCCCACCCCCCACUCCGGCUUCCAGCAAAUUCAGAGCCAAUUUCUACACUAAGCCACUCAGUAGGACUGCGGCCAGGGCCCUACUUUUGGUCAGUGUCCAUCCUACCUGGGCCUGGUUGACUUUAUUGAUAGAAUAAAUUUUUUCCAGGUGCUAAAAAUUGGACUCCAGGCCUCACGCGCAUGCUCAGCGAGGGAAGGCUCUACCACUUAGCCACACCCCUGGCCCUAUCUUUUUUAGUUUCUUUGAAUCUGGAACAAUCGCAGCAUUUCCUUAUCAAUGACUUUUGUGACAUAGAUGUCAAAAGUCCAAACCAAUUGUGUUUUUAAUUUGUUAUGUGAUUUUCUAAUUAGGGGACUAAAGAUCAUAAUGAGAACCGAAACGUAAAAAUAUCCAAUGGAAUUUUUUGUUCUAGAUGUUGAUAGAAAGAAGCCCUGGAGCUGGUCAGUGAAAUUAUCGCCCUAGGCGAUGUGAGAUCCUGGCUUCCUGGGAAUGUUCGGAAUCUUGGACGUCCAUAUCCUGGUCCCGCCACCUUUGGAUCUGAGCAUCCAGAGAAACUGGGUCAGAAUACUAUAGCGCCUAGAGUAUUUCUUACAACUAUGAAUCUACAAUUGUCUCAAAAUUAAAAGCU
rnacentral:lncRNA from 1 species